rnacentral:lncRNA from 1 species
AUGCAAAUCUACCUACCCACCUUCCUUCCUUCUUUCCUUCCUUCCUUCCUUCCUUCCUUCCUUCUUUUUUCCUUUAUUUAUUUAUUUAUUUAUUUAUUUAUUUAUUUAGACAGUCUUAUUAUAUAGACCAGAGUGACCUGGAACUCAUAAAGAUCUGCCUUCCUCUACCUCCCAAGUGCUGGGAUCAAAAAGAUGUGCAUCCCCACACUGGACUCUGUCUAGGCUGGCCUUGAGCUCAUUAUGUAGCAAGGAUCUUGGAUUCUUUCAUGUUUGGUUUUUGAGACAGGGUCUCAUUUUGUAGCCCUGGCUGACCUCAAACUCACAGAGGCAGGCAGAUCUCUUGUGAGUUUGAGACCAGCUUGGUCUACACAGUGAGUUCCAGGACAGCCAGGGCUACACAGUGAGACCCUCUCUCAAAACCAAACAAGCACCCCUCCAAAAAAAACCCAGAAAAAUAAAACAAAAAUAGGGUUUGUGUUGGUACAGUUUGGUGGUAGAACAUAGGUUUGUCAUACAUAAGAUCCUGGGUCUGUCGCUGGUACAAACACCAACCCAGCAAGUGAGUACAGAGAGGAAUCCUAAGACGGUGACAGCUCUGACCUAAGCGUCACUGUGUCCCUGCAUUUAUAUGACACCAUAGGCCGCGCUGCAUUUGUGUAAGGACUAAGGGAAGAGUUUUCCUGAUCCAUCUGCUGUGCAGACUUGUACUUUAGGACAGCCACUGUUUACCUGUAUUGUCCUUGAAGAGUGAAGACAAGUGUCUCAGCAGCCCCAUGGGAAACCCUCUAAGACCUCUGUUCAAGCUGUGGACUUUGAACACUGGGGUCUGUGUGGGGAUGGAGAGCCCCUGGGCUGAGUCACCUCAUUCAGCUCUGAGCCCAGCCUAGACCACUGCCCGACUCACUCGCAGAACUCCACGCCUCUGUGCUAUGCCAUCUCAGAUGACAGAUGGGAUGGGGAUGAAGAUACAGGACAGGAAGGAAGCUGUCAUGUUUGAAGGUGACUGGGGCUUGUGGGAGUCCUCAUCAAGUCCUGCUACCGUGAAGACCAGGACAUCUGUUCUCAUGCCUAAAAAUGUGUUCUCCAGAGCCACAACCCUAACUAGGCUCUAGUUCACUAAGUUCACUAAAGUCUGUGCAUGUAGUCAUGAGUGUGUGUGUGUGUGUGUGUGUGUGUGUGUGUGUAUCAGGGACACACUGGGUGUUGUUCCUCCAGAGCUGACCAUCUUGCUUUCUGAGAUGGUCUCUGACAGGGACUUGGGCUUCACCUAAGCAGAGCUGGCUGGCCCACGAGCCCCAGGAAUCCUCCUGUCUGCCUUUCCAGCACGUGGGUUGCAAGUAAAUGCAACCCUGCCUGGCUUUGUGUGUGGAGUAUGAGGUUCCCACUCAGGUCUUCAAGCUUGUGUGGCCUGAGGUGGAUGGUGGAAACGUUUUGGUGGAGUACUUGACCGGUUCUAGAGGGCUCUCAGUCUCUCUCCCUGAGGAGCUCUGCAAACUUGAGGGAACAAGAUGGGAUUAUAUGCUAGAAAAUAGCCCAGGCCACUUGAUUCUCCAUGCUAAAAUGGGCUCUAAUCCAUGUUUCCUUUUUGGUAUUGGAUUAAAGAAUGUAGGGCAUCGCUAGGAUUGGCUGUUAAUAAUACCCAGGACAAAUAUAUGCUGUGAGGAUUUGGGGAACGAGAUAAGGCUGUAGGAAGGCUGCAGAUGCGCCCGUUAGGCAUGCCUGAGAACACUUGUGCUGGCUUUGACUUUUCUCAUUGUAUCUCCACAUUCCCCAAUCUGAACGUCUCCUGAGCAAUCUUUUUACUGCAUUUAAAUUAAUUUUUGGUAGCAAAAGAUAUAUUCAGCCUGAGUCGUUUGUUAAGUUCAGAUAAAGCAGAGGGGGCUGGACUGUAUGUAGCUCAGUGGCAGAGCACACACUUACCUCCCCUACCACGUCACAACCCCAGCACAGCCACAGGCAGGCACACCUUUCAUGAGCGAGCAUCCUGUCCUGCGAGAGUCCUGCAGUUAGCAGAGGUGGUUCUGCUUUGGGAAUUUAGCUGACUUUGACCAAAACCUAGGACACCUGCACUUUGAUGUGCCCCUCCACACUCCAAGAGUUCUUCCAACAGAUGACCUCAAAGGAAUGCAGAGGAGGCCCUCCACACAGUGGUUCCAGAGCACUGGGUUCUGUUUUCUAGUUGGCUUGUUUGUCUGUUUGUACGAGUAGAAGCACAGAGCAACACUGGGGCAUACCAGCAAUUAAAGCUAAUAAAGGUAACAUUUUGCUCUACGUUUUCCCAAUUUGCCUGUGCAUGUAUACUUUUAAAAAAAUGGUUGUAUGUAUAACAUUAGAGGUAAAAGAGAAUGUGAAUUUCAGCAGAGCAGCAAAGGGCAUCAGGGAAGGCUUGGAGGGAGGGAAAGGAAGGGAAAAUGAUGUAAUUACAUUAUAAUUUUAAAAAGGAGAAAAUUACCAGGUGGUGGUGGUGCAUGCCUUUAAUCCCAGCACUUGGGAGGCAGAGGCAGGUGACCUCUGUGAGUUUGAGGCCAGCAUGGUCUACAGAGCAAAUUCCAAGACAGCCCUGUCUCAAAAAUUAAUUAAUUAAAAAGCCCUCAAGUCAAGUAUUCCCAGUAGAAGGCAAGGAGUUAAGGCACAGAGAAAAUAAACUUCAGCAUCACAAAACAACAAAACCCAGUUGUAUUUGCUCUGAAACCUUGACAUGCCAGCCUUCAAUGAAAUACAUAGAAUUCUAGUGCCCUGGAUGUGAUUUUGUGAUUUCAUUUACUUAAUUG